GACGAACGCUGGCGGCGCGCUUAACACAUGCAAGUCGAGCGAGAACCUGGGCUUCGGCCCAGGGGACAGCGGCGAACGGGUGAGUAACACGUGGGUAAUCUGCCCUCGGCAUCGGGAUAGCCCGGGGAAACCCGGAUUAAUACCGAAUAGCCUCCGGAGCCUUCGGGCGCCGGAGAAAAGGUAGCUUCGGCCUCUGGCCGAGGAUGAGCCCGCGGCGGAUUAGCUUGUUGGUGGGGUAACGGCCCACCAAGGCGACGAUCCGUAGCUGGUCUGAGAGGACGAUCAGCCACACUGGGACUGAGACACGGCCCAGACUCCUACGGGAGGCAGCAGUGGGGAAUCUUGCGCAAAUGCGGGAAACCGUGACGCAGCGACGCCGCGUGGGGGAAGAAGGCCUUCGGGUUGUAAACCUCUUUCAGGAGGGACGAAGCUACUCGGGUGAAUAGCCCAGAGGGUGACGGUACCUCCAGAAGAAGCCCCGGCUAACUACGUGCCAGCAGCCGCAGUAA
rnacentral:rRNA from 1 species